GCACCAUGCAGAGUGAUAGCCGCUCGUCCGAAGAAAAGAUGAGGGAUUUCAGCCCAUGGAGGCACGAAAUUAGUUUAGGGCCUUCCUCUUUUAUGAUUAUGGAAAAUACUUUUAAAAAUACAUUCCGGAUAUAUGACUCUAAUGCGGAUUUAGAUAUAUAUUCGAAAAGAGCUGCUCUGAAAUUAUCAGAAACGGUAGCUAGUCUUGUAUCGUUUGUAGGUGAAGAAAUACUUUUCUGUGCUUUUGGGACAACGAUUGAAUGCAACCGCACUGAUGAUGGCAUUUUCGAAGCAUUUUUAUUAAC